GUAGGGAAUAUUGGACAAUGGGCGAAAGCCUGAUCCAGCCAUGCCGCGUGAUAGAUGAAGGCCCUCUGGGUUGUAAAUAUCUUUUAUCUGGGAAGAAACUCCUCUAUUCUUAGAGGCCUGACGGUACCAGAGGAAUAAGCACCGGCUAACUCCGUGCCAGCAGCCGCGGUAAUACGGAGGGUGCAAGCGUUAUCCGGAUUCACUGGGUUUAAAGGGUGCGUAGGCGGGUUGAUAAGUCAGUGGUUAAAGCUCCGGGCUUAACUUGGAAACUGCCAUUGAUACUGUCAAUCUUGAAUGUCGUAGAGGUAAGCGGAAUGUUGCAUGUAGCGGUGAAAUGCUUAGAUAUGUUACAGAACACCAAUUGCGAAGGCAGCUUACUAUGCGAUAAUUGACGCUGAGGCACGAAAGCGUGGGGAGCAAACAGGAUUAGAUACCCCGGUAGUCC
rnacentral:rRNA from 1 species